GAGUGGUGAGCAAAGCAGAGCUGCUCUAACAGUCUGAGUUCGGCUGUGUUCAGAGGAGGAGCUGGAAGAUGAGCUGAACACCGAGCUGCCAUUUUCCUCUCUGAACUGUUUCUCUGAGUUGAGUUUGAGUGACAGGAGCCGUUUCUGCCUCACACUCAGAACACAGCACUGGCUGUGAGAGCAGCUCUAAGGUUUGCUGUGUUUACAGGCUGGUCGUUCAGAGGAUGAAGCAGUGUUUUAUCUGGGCGCUGUGAGUUCUGUAGUUGGGCUUUUUGUCCAGAUGGUAAAGUGACCGGUCUCCGUGUGGGAGAGCAGCUUCAGUCCCAGCACAGAGAAACUCUCAUUAGGCUCCUAACGGUUAGUGGUGGUGACGUAAUGACGUCUCUCUGACGCUGCGUGUUUGAGCCGCAAAAACCAGCCAGUCAGACUUCAACAAGACGUGAAUCUCCACAAGUGAGCUCUGAAGAUGUGAUUCCUGCUGUGACCGUUACAGAGACCGUUAAACAGACAGAAGAGGAUGGUGAGAUCACUUCCUCUCCACUUCAGCGACACUAGAUUCAAGGAAAUCAGGAGGAGGAGACUUACUUACCGUCACCUGUUGAAGAGACUCACACAUUCAGAAUGAGACGCUCAGUUUUCUGGUAGUUCUAUAUGAUGUCAUAAAGAAGUGAUGUCAUAAAGGAAGAUUCAGAGUCUGAAAUACUCCAUGUUAACUGAUGAGGCCACCUGAAUAAGUGCCAAAAUGGGCGGGGCUAAACUGCUGUAGGCUAAAAAGGAAAUCAGGAGGAGGAGACUUACUUACCGUCACCUGUUGAAGAGACUCACACAUUCAGAAUGAGACGCUCAGUUUUCUGGUAGUUCUAAAUGACGUCAUAAAGAAGUGACGUCAUAAAGGAACAGAACACUGAAAGCUGCUGACUCUUUUCUGCUGUUUUCUCAUUAUAAACCUCAUUACAGUCUCGACACCAGAGUGAGGAAUAUGAAGAGAUCAAUUCAUCAGAACCUCAUUUAUAAAACAUCUAUCAUAUAAUAAUUACAAUAUAUAAAACGGCAGUUAAAAUCAAAUGUAAUGAAGUGAACUAACCCUUCUGGAUUAACCCAGGACUCUGUGUCUCUCUCAGAGAUCGAUGGUGUUUUCCAGCAUCUCCACACCAGAAACACUACAGGAGAAACGUCUGGCAGUAACAUUAAAAAUAAACAGUGUAGAAUUAUUUAUUACGUAGUGCAGAUUUUUUUAAAGACUUUUUCCCACUGAAAGAUCAGUUAGAUCGCUAAUAUAUCAUUCAGUUUAGCUGUUUAAAGGGAAACUCGAGUUGAUCUCUAUCUGCUGAAUCUGUAGCGCACAGUCAGUUACCACAGACCAUAACUUCAACUUCCCUGAACUUAGAAAAGAACAGGAAACCCACGGGCACUAAACUCUAUAGUAGAAGUCAGUGGUCAGACGCUGAAGCUAAAGGUUUGUUUGAGUGAGCGAGUUUUCUGUUCAUUUCUAAAACCAGGCUCUGAGAAAGUUAAUUAAUUAAUCCUCAUUUUAUUAGAGCUGCUUCCAAACCUCCCAGCUCAAAGUAAGCUCAUUUUGUUAGCUAGCUAGCACAAAGUCAGACACGGUGUUGUGGAAAAUGCUUCUAAUUAAAAAUAAAACCUAAUAUGGAACAGAAAACAAUUAAACACCAAGAAUAUCAGAAAAAGGUACAAUCUUUCAUUAAAGAUUAAGACUUAAAUACAAGUGUUAAUCAAAGUUGCUCAGCUGUAAUUAGCAGCUGUAAGCCAUUGCAUUGGAUUACACUAUUAUCCAUAAACAUAAACACACUUUAAGAAGAUGGGGCUGUGCUCUUGGUUACAUCAUAUCACAUCAAUUAACAUACCCCACUUUUCAUUCAUCAAGAGAGUACAGAGCAGUUAGAAUCUACUGAUUAUCCCUAAUUGUGACUAAACAUGUUAUUGCUAAUUGUGACUAAAUAAGAAAGUGAUCAAAUAUAUACUUUGUGAAUGAAAUGGAUGAAAAAUAAAGUUAUGGUCAAAACUAGGUAUGUGUGUGU